GAGUGAUAUGAUGGCAUACCAUCUUUCGGGACUGACUGAAACAUGGAGAGUCCUUUUAUUGUUGUACUGAUCACUC
ensembl:snoRNA small nucleolar RNA SNORD2